AAUUGGAGGACUCUUGGAAGUGAGGAAUCUGAUGGGUAUAAUGUCAAUCUAACUUUCUUCCAUGAAUACAAUUUGCAUCCACAAUAGCAAAACCCAAUCCCUCUGAUUUCCCACAUGACGGAACCUUACCUGUAACUGAGGAUUCAACUGAAAACCAAAACAUGUACAUGAAGAAUCAAAAGCUAAAGUCUGUAAUCACUAAUCACUAAUAACAAAUACAGAGGUCUUCAUGUUCUGCGAUGGCCAUUUUCUUUUCAUCUCUCAUUUUCCAUCCUACCAGCCUCAAAAUCUAGGCGGUCGAGAAAGCCACAAAGUUCCCAAUUACCCAAGCAAGUGGCAGCAGUGUUAUAAUGAACUCCAUCCACAGUAGCACAGUGAAACUGCGAGAUCUUUUUCUGAUGAAAACAACAGCUGUAGUAUGAUGCUAUGAUCCAUUGCAUGCCUAGUUAGCCUUGAUGGAAUAUAUCCAUCCUCACUUGGUAGUUGGUGCAGCUUUUGCUUCUUAUC
rnacentral:misc_RNA from 1 species